rnacentral:rRNA from 1 species
UACGUAGGGGGCUAGCGUUGUCCGGAAUCAUUGGGCGUAAAGCGCGUGUAGGCGGCCCGGUAAGUCCGCUGUGAAAGUCGGGGGCUCAACCCUCGGAUGCCGGUGGAUACUGUCGGGCUCGAGUACGGAAGAGGCGAGUGGAAUUCCUGGUGUAGCGGUGAAAUGCGCAGAUAUCAGGAGGAACACCAAUUGCGAAGGCAGCUCGCUGGGACGUUACUGACGCUGAGACGCGAAAGCAUGGGGAGCGAACAGG